UCGCCUAUACUGGACUUUCCCGACAUCAACGGAUCUCCCAAUGCGGAUGAAGGAGCGAGCAAACCACACUUCUGCCGGCGAUGCCGUGUGUGCCGCAAGUUGGCGCUAAGGUUGCCGAAAAAGCGUCACGCCCGAGAAAGACACCAUCGACGCCACCAUGGCCACGAGCAACAGGCGGCGAGAGAUGACGCAGUUCCUGCGACACUGGAUGCCGGAAAAGCCACGGACGGCGUUCAGCCCGUAUCGCCCGAUGCGCUCUCGGAACAUCCGCAUCGCGUUGAAUCCGACCUCGGUGAAACGGUCCUUUCUCCCGGAGAGCGCGACAAGCCGUCUAUAUCAUCGUCGAUGUCGCCGACCUCACCCUGUGCUGCCAGAGGGUUCUGCCAUGCAUAUGGCAUCGCCCGCACAGGACGGACAGGCUGCGAGUUCUGACGAGACGAAGGCGGCGGCGACGACUGCGGAACCGCAGGUUCAUCGCGGGAACCAGGGCACCUCGACCCGAGCCGUGGCGAAAACGCGUUUGAAGGCGUGCUUCGCUGGCGAAAGCGAUGGAUUUGACAGCGACGAGGGUCGCAAGCAAGCCAGACCAGCCAGCAGAAAGUAAGAGCACAUUGAGAUUAUAACUGAUCGGAUCCGGUCUCUUGCAACGUCUCGCCCUUUAAAACACGGGGUUUCAAACACGAUGACUGCAGGCCACAUACGGCCUGCGAAGCCAUCGUAUGUAGCCCGCUUCGAAGUGUUAAGUCUUCGAUACACUUGUCCCUCCCUAAUGUUAAAAAAAGGGCAGCCGCAAUUUUUAAACUCAUCAUUCAUGCUUUGUUUCAACGUCACCGCCAUGCAGAUAGAGGUAAAAGUCUUAAGGGUCGCAAGGUGACGAAGCGGCUUGACGGUGACUGCGGUCCCUUUCACAUGGUGCCGCAACGUAACAGCCGUCAGUAAAACGAUACUUACUCUAACCUUUACACCUAUAUACAACUUUACAACAAAAUUAGUUAGCCCGUAUACUGGCCUUUUGUCGCCAUUUCGAGUCACUACCGAAUCGGAGCUCCUGGAUGCGAUGAAAGACGAUGCCGCUCCACUGCUGCUGUGAAGGUAGAUUACCAGCGAAGCAGUUUAGCACACGACCUAGAGGUGACACAUAAUUUAGAUCAA